rnacentral:rRNA from 1 species
AUGGGCGAAGCCUGAUCCAGCCAUGCCGCGUGUGUGAUGAAGGCCUUCGGGUUGUAAACCUCUUUUCUUUGGGACGAAGGGGAGUUGCCCCCUAGGUGAUUGUCUUGACCUUUCCCAUGCAGUACGCCCCCGUUUCAACUGUGCCCGCCGCCGCGGUAAUCA